GGCUGUGUAAGAUGUAUAUUUUUGGUUUUUUCUGUCGGCAUUAAAGGUUCAAAGUUUUGGUGCCGAGAAACAAAUAAAAAUACCAUUAGUAAAGAUGUUACUUUUGACGAAAUUACGAUACUUCACCCCAAGAAUGAGUCAUAUGUUCUUGACAACACAACAGAAUGACUCGAGCAAGGUAGAGCAAGAGCUAAAGUUAGACGGUGACAUCACAG
rnacentral:lncRNA from 1 species